UCCCUGCUGGCUCAGAUGGUAAAGCAUCUGCCUGCAAUGCAGGAGACCCGGGUUUGAUUCCUGGGUCGGGAA
rnacentral:tRNA from 1 species